rnacentral:lncRNA from 1 species
GAAAGCGCAUGAACACACGGGGUGGAAAGGGGUAGAGAAAGAAUCUCAAGCAAGACCUACCCCCAAAAUUAGAAAUAAUUUGAAGGUUUGAAGGUUUGAAGGGACAGCUGAAGGGCACAGAGCCCACCGCAGACCUCGAUCUCAUGACCUGCAGAUCAUGGCCUGAGCUGAAAUCAGGAAUCGGAUGCUUAACCAACUGAGCCAAUCAAGCACCCCAAAUUACUACUGUUACUAUUGAGCAAUUCUCCCUGCUCAUUUCAUCCAUGAGCUCAUACUGGGAAUGUGGGUGAGACAUUGACCUCUAUUUCCUCCAUUACUAUGUUCCCUAUGCUAAUGGUAUGAGCAUCUCAUUGUGCUGAGUAUAAUUCUUAUGCUUAAAGAACUGCAGCUUAUUGGUUGGAUACUCCAAAUGCUGGCACUGGGCAGAGGCCUAAUUAUAUGGAGCGUGGUCCACAUCUUUAGGGAUGCCAGAAGUUGCUGUGCAGAAAUCAGCAGGGGCAUGGAGGAGGACAUUCACUGGGCCAGAACUGCUUAAAACACGCUGGGAUGAUUAAGGUACUUC